CACAACCUGAGCUGAAAGCAGACCCCUAACCAACUGAGCUACCCAGGAACCCUCAAAUGACUAGAGUUUCUGACGCGCCCGUGACGCCGCUCUUCGGAACUGACCCAGCCCAGGGCCGGGGGGACGCGGCUAGCGUCUUCCCGGCCUCUGCUGACUCCCUGUUUCUUCCCAGGUCCCUGGUCCCCGCAGGCGUGUCCGCAGCGCCGCGAGGGUUUCUUAAGAUGUAUGCCGGAGUGUUAACCGUUGAAUAAAGGUGUUAACGCAGAGGAUUAUCCUAUCUGGUGUUGGGCAGAUCCUAGGAACUUCCAUCUAACCUUCUUGCAUUAACUUGUAUGAGCAGCAGCUGUCAACUUACUGGAAAAAUGAAACUGCCCAGGAAUUUUGAGAUGCUUAAAUAUUUUUAGAUCAAUGAGACUUCUUUAAUAAAAACAUUUGUUUUUAUUAAAAAGAUUCUAAU
rnacentral:lncRNA from 1 species